rnacentral:rRNA from 1 species
UACGGAGGGUGCAAACGUUGUCCGGAAUCACUGGGCGUAAAGAGCAUGUAGGUGGCUUUGUAAGUGAAUGAUUAAAGACCGAUGCUUAACAUCGGGAGUGUUAUUCAUACUGCAUGGCUUGAGGAUAGCAGGGGUAAGCGGAACUUUAAGUGUAGGAGUGAAAUCCGUAGAUAUUUAAAGGAACACCAAUGGCGAAGGCAGCUUACUAGGCUAUUUCUGACACUGAGAUGCGAAAGCGUGGGGAGCGAACGGG